rnacentral:rRNA from 1 species
CCUACGGGGUGCUGCAGUGAGGAAUAUUGGUCAAUGGGCGCGAGCCUGAACCAGCCAAGUAGCGUGAAGGAUGACUGCCCUACGGGUUGUAAACUUCUUUUAUAAAGGAAUAAAGUGAGGCACGUGUGCCUUUUUGUAUGUACUUUAUGAAUAAGGAUCGGCUAACUCCGUGCCAGCAGCCGCGGUAAUACGGAGGUCUCAAGCGUUGUUCGGAAUCACUGGGCGUAAAGGGUGCGUAGGCGGCAAAAUAAGUCUGAAGUAAAAGGCGUUGGCUCAACCAACGUAAGCUUUGGAAACUGUUAAGCUAGCGUGCAGGAGAGGUUAGUGGAAUUCCAUGUGUAGCGGUAAAAUGCGUAGAUAUAUGGAGGAACACCAGUGGCGAAGGCGGCUAACUGGCCUGUAACGGACGCUGAGGCACGAAAGCGUGGGGAGCAAAUAGGAUUAGAUACCCCUGUAGUC